UGUUCUUAUAGCUCAGUCGGUAAAGCCUUAAACUCUUAAUCUCAGGGUUGUGGGUUCAAGCCCCAUAUUGGGCAA